GGAUAACAAAUCUUCUUGCCUUUCUCACACUCUCACUGUAGGAUAAUGGCCGCAUCUCUGAGAACGCCACCACCCCCAUCUCUCUCCUUCUUCUCCUCAUCACUUUUCCAAAUUUCCAAACUCAUAUCUUUCUCAAAACCCAAUUCCUUCAAUUCCCAAUUGAAGCCUCUCUCCAUCUCCUUCCAAGCGGCGACCCUCCCAAUCCUCUCCUUCGCUGGUGAAAAAAUUGGAGAAACCUACUUAGACAUUAAGUCUGCCCCUCCGGAGACCGCACGUGCCGUUGUUCAUCGUGGUAUCAUCACUGACCAGCAGAACAAGCGCCGGGGCACUGCCUCAACCCUCACCCGCGCGGAGGUUAGAGGUGGUGGCAAGAAACCUUAUCAACAAAAGAAAACAGGUCGUGCCCGUCGUGGAUCAAAUCGCACCCCUCUCCGCCCUGGCGGAGGAGUCAUUUUUGGUCCCAAGCCUAGAGAUUGGUCCAUAAAAAUUAACAAAAAGGAGAAACGAUUGGCUAUUUCUACAGCAUUGGCUAGUGCGACUGAGAAUAUGGUUUGUGUGGAGGAAUUUGGUGAGAGAUUUGAGAAGCCGAAGACGAAAGAGUUCAUUGCGGCUAUGAACCGGUGGGGAUUGGACCCGAAAGAGAAAGUUAUGUUUUUGAUGAUGGACGUGAGUGAUAAUGUGGGGCUAUCGAGCAGGAAUAUUGGGACUUUGAACAUGUUGACGCCUAGGACUUUAAAUUUGUUCGAUAUUUUGAAUUCGGAUAAAUUGGUGCUAACGCCGGAUGCUGUAGAUUACUUGAAUGGAAGGUAUGGAGUGGAUGUUGAGGUAGAGAGUGAGGAUGAUGAAGAGGAAGAGGGAGAUUUCGAGCAAGAAGAACAAGAUGGUGGUGAAGGAACUGAAGCUAAUGAGAAUUCUGUUGUAACAGAGUGAUGAUACCGAGUUUUUAGCCACCUUGACCUAGGAUCCGUGACAAUUCACAUAAAACUUGGCGAGAAG
rnacentral:misc_RNA from 1 species